rnacentral:rRNA from 1 species
CUAAUACAUGCAAGUCGAGCGGAGUUAUAUUGGAAGCUUGCUUUCAAUAUAACUUAGCGGCGGACGGGUGAGUAACACGUAGGUAACCUGCCUGUAAGACUGGGAUAACUACCGGAAACGGUAGCUAAUACCGGAUAAUCUGUUUCCUCUCCUGAGGAGACAGUGAAAGGCGGAGCAAUCUGCCACUUAUAGAUGGGCCUGCGGCGCAUUAGCUAGUUGGUGAGGUAACGGCUCACCAAGGCGACGAUGCGUAGCCGACCUGAGAGGGUGAACGGCCACACUGGGACUGAGACACGGCCCAGACUCCUACGGGAGGCAGCAGUAGGGAAUCUUCCGCAAUGGACGAAAGUCUGACGGAGCAACGCCGCGUGAGUGAUGAAGGUUUUCGGAUCGUAAAGCUCUGUUGCCAGGGAAGAACGCUUGGGAGAGUAACUGCUCUCAAGGUGACGGUACCUGAGAAGAAAGCCCCGGCUAACUACGUGCCAGCAGCCGCGGUAAUACGUAGGGGGCAAGCGUUGUCCGGAAUUAUUGGGCGUAAAGCGCGCGCAGGCGGUCAUUUAAGUCUGGUGUUUAAUCCCGGGGCUCAACCCCGGGUCGCACUGGAAACUGGGUGACUUGAGUACAGAAGAGGAG